UGGAGCCACUGCGCAUCUCUCUCUCUCGUCCCAUUUCAUCUAAUCUCAUGUUUCCUCUUCCUCUCCUCUUUCUUUGAGCCCCGAUUUAGUUUCGUACCAUGCUCUCGGUAACGGGCAGGGGAAGAGCCAGAACCAAAUGGAAUUCCCAAACUAAAAUCAUCGGGAGACGGAGUGACUAGGGGCGAGAGCAGAAGUGCAGAAGCAGCAGAACCUGUGGCGAGUCGCGAUGGUCGAUGAGUUGUGAGUGUCAAUUGUCGAGUUGUGGGUGCCAGUUCUUGGGGUGAUGGAGAUGGAUUGACAGUGUCACGGACCUCUUCAUGAGUCGCCGAGUUGGCAAGCGCCUUUUAAUUUUCGGCCCUGUUCAAUUCUUCUGUAUGGCGUUAGCCCUAUUUUUGUUACUUUUUUUUUUUUAAUUAUUGUUUUUGCUCUGUGUUGAGUGUUGACGGAAGGAAUAGAUUAUGGUGGAUACACACUAAUUAUUCCAAAAAAGGAUUGUGGUAAAAGAAACUAUAUUUUUAUAAUAAUUAAUUCAUGUAAAGCUGGCAGAAUCAAUUGCGUUUGGAUUCUGAACUUAUGAAUAGAUUUAUCCCAAUUUUACAUUAAUUAUAUAGAUUUCGUGCAUUUCCCACGUAGUUUUUGUUGAGGAAUCACAUUACAGCACUGAAUUACAAGUAAUAUAAGAUUUUCUUGUUGAAACGGAAUAGGUUUUAUUGAACUUAAUCGUGGCGUUUGACUUAUUGAUGUUCAAUUUUCAUUAUCUUAUCUAAUUGUACUCAUCAAAUGAAUUGAAGGCUCGGGAGGAUUGGCAUAGUAACGAGUAAGUCUUGCGUUUUUUGGAUUCCUUAAUUAUACAUUGUAGUCUCUUUUUAUUCCCUUUUCUCUCCUUCCAGUAAAAGAGCCAAAGUUAAAACAAGAAAAAGGUUACCUUUCAGAUCUACAUCUUAUGCUCUAUAACCAACCAUAAAUAAUGGUUCUGUUUUAGCUCAUUUCUUAUUGAAAGAGAAAUUGCAGAAUUAGGAAUAUUCGGAUGCAUCUGAUAAAUAGUGGGUUCGUUGACUAGAAUACGGUUGUGGACCUUUUGGUGUGACGUCUCUUAGUUGAAUGAUUAUGGAAAGAUGUCAAUAUUGAGGGAAUGACUCUACUAUGAAGGCUGUUAUAAAUUUGUAGUGCAAAUAGUAUAUUAAUGAGAAGAAUUGGACAUAUUACAAGAUACCAAGAUCAAAAUGGGUAGAAAUUUGGCAUGAAGCAUAGAGAAACCCAUUCUAAAAAAAAAAAAAAAAAAAAAACACCAUUAGGUUGAUUUUUUCAUUUUACUUCUUGGUGGCUUUUCAUGAAAAAUCAUAUCUUUCAGGAAAGUUUAGAACUGAUUAGCGAAGUAUAGAUGAAAAAGUAGAAAUCUGUGAUAGUUUUUCAUGUUAAGAUUUUGGGUUUUAUCAUAAAAAAUCAACUUUGUUAAGAGAAAUAGCCUAAUAUUAAAUAAGUUGGUAUAUAUUUUCAUCUUUAUGCGAUAUGGAAUUAUAUCCUUUAACAUGCCUCCAUAAGAUGGUGACUCGUUGAACAAACUAAUCUUGAAAUUUGUGUGUUUAUUUUUUAGUUUUAAUUAGAUCGAAUUGCUUGUUAAAGAUUAAUGAACACUGAAUCUAUGUUAAGAUCUGGAGUUACAUAUUAAAAUAUCAACCUUGUUAAAAAGAGUAGUAUAAAACCUUAUAAAUUGGUCUAUGUUUUCAUAUUUAUUUAAUGUGAAAUUAUAUUCCUUAACAUUCCCUUUUCUAAUACUAAAUCAAUCUCAUACCAUAUUUGACUGAAUAAAAAAUCAUAUUUCAUUCUUCUUCUUUUUUCUUUUGUGUUCAUUUCUUUGAAGGAGUUUUUCAUGCUUUGUGCAAACUCUCAAAGGUUUGUAAUAUCCUCUGAACUGGUUGUCGAAAAUUCUAAAAGCAAUUUGUGUGGAGGUAACUAUCGAUUUUAGAAAAGCAUAUUUUAUAAGUGUAGGCCUUUUUUAGGUAUUCUUCAAUAUUUGGUUCCUGUUUCCAUUCUCCAUAUUCUCCUUUUCAUAUUUUUCAGCGACUUCUAAUUAGCCAUGGAUUAAGUGAUGACCUUACUUGGGCUAGCUAGGCGCUCAUGAAGAGCAUGAAGACAAGCAUUACGCUAAAUUGAGAAGUGAUGCGCACAAAUUUGCAUUGUAGGGCGUGCAAAUUAACCUCAAUGCUUCGGAUGAAGUUAGGAGAGUUCCUUUACAACGAAUAUGCUUUGAGAGGAUUGUAUAUUGUGUGUAAGCAUGCAACCAAGAUGGAAGCUGUGCAUCUCAAAUAAGCGAGCACCUUGGCACUGAGUGUAACACAUGGAUGUGUUCAAGUGUUCACGUGCAGUAAACUUUGUUGGAAAAAAAUAUGCAACUUGUCAUGUCUAGACUUAUGAUGAAAUUUGCUGGAAGGUAGUUGAAGGAGUGAGUGCAAAAUAUAGUCCUUUUGUACGACUUAGAGAGUCAACUCGUGUCAGAAAGUCUUGUGUUUCAUCAAGUAAAAGGGUUAUUAAGUAAGUAUUGACCAG
rnacentral:lncRNA from 1 species